rnacentral:rRNA from 1 species
AGUGAACGCUGGCGGUAGGCCUAACACAUGCAAGUCGAACGGCAGCACAGUAAGAGCUUGCUCUUACGGGUGGCGAGUGGCGGACGGGUGAGGAAUACAUCGGAAUCUACUUUUUCGUGGGGUAUAACGUAGGGAAACUUACGCUAAUACCGCAUACGACCUACGGGUGAAAGCAGGGGAUCUUCGGACCUUGCGCGAUUGAAUGAGCCGAUGUCGGAUUAGCUAGUUGGCGGGGUAAAGGCCCACCAAGGCGACGAUCCGUAGCUGGUCUGAGAGGAUGAUAAGCCAAACUGGAACUGAGACAAGGUCCAGACUCCUACGGGAGGCAGCAGUGGGGAAUAUUGGACAAUGGGCGCAAGCCUGAUCCAGACAUACCGCGUGGGUGAAGAAGGCAUUCGGGUUGUAAAGCCCUUUUGUUGGGAAAGAAAAGCAGCAGGUUAAUACCCAGCUGUGCUGACGGUACCCAAAGAAUAAGCACCGGAUAACUUCGUG